rnacentral:lncRNA from 1 species
GACUCGGGUCGUGGCUGACGACCCGACGGUUCGCCUGCGGCCGCCUCCAACAACGGUGGAAACCGCACACAGGGACCGCGGGCCCUCGGUGCAGCAAAUCGGAAAGUGCUGCGGUCGGCGGCCCUGGGCUCUGAGCGCUCAAGCGAGCAGAGGGGUGGAGGGGCUCUCCCCACCCACAGGAGGCUCUCGGCGGGGCGCAGCCAAUUCUGCGCGCCCAAGGCUCCCCUCUGCCGUGGAUCGCGUGUGCCGAGUGUUGGCCUCUUCCCCGAAAGGGCCAGACGGACCAAGGGGGCCUUCCCAGCCGGCUGCAAGCUCUCAGACGCUAAAAUGGGAACAAAGCUUCCAGAAAGGCAGCGCCUUUGGGCGGCCGCGCCCCGCCCAGCCGCGGGGGCCAUUGAUACAGAGGCUUGCUGCGCUUGGUGUGCGCGGCCCGGCCGGGCCUCUGGAAACGCCCAUGAGAAAUGAGCUCAUGCUGGAUGCGCGCGCUCCUUGGGCGCAACUGCCCAGCGCAAAACGGGCCCCGAAAGCAGGUGAGGGGAAAUGCCGUCAGGCCGGAUAUCCUGAAGCCUCCGAGGAAAUGGGGGGGUCAGAGGAGCCCGUGGUAGCUUUGGAUCUUUUGGAACUAGGGUGAUCUAUAAAAGUGCAGCUUGAGAAGAUUUCAUACAUAAGACCAGCGUCCAUUGUUCUACCAUAGAACCAGUUCCUUUGGUCUGCUUUAGAACAGUGAGGUAUGGCUACGUCAAGAUAACAGAGAAAGUAGAACAGACAGUUGCCAUCCUGAUUGUAAUCCAGUGGUGCCUGUAAUUUCUACCUGCAGAGUCAUCUCUUUCUGUUAAGAUGCUGUCUCCAGAAAGCACAUGUUAAAGGACCUAUAUUUGAUCAGAUUACCUGGCUCUUGCUUUGAAACACUGAUGAAGGACUUGGGACAGAACAAAGUAAGCUUUGAUGGAAGACAGGAAAGGUCUAGAUAGUGUUUGCAGAUUCAAAUGGCUACAGAGGCCAGACAAGUAAAGCAAAUGAGUGAGACUGGCCUUGUGUAAGACAAUGGGGAAUGAUAGGGAAAAUGGCAAAUUGGAAUAUCCAUGCCAUAACUAAAAGGAACAGCUGCUCAACUCUAGCAGAUUGUUGCCCUCAGGAAUGUGGGUCCAGUGUUCUCAGAUGUUCAAUUUUUUUCCUCCCAAAAGAAACCCCAAAAUUGGAUUUUUGUGUGAAAUCUCUGCAUUUUUAAAUGUUGGUAACCAAAUUUUCAAACCCUGCAGGCCAACCUAAAAACAUCCCUUGGCCAAUGAGGCAUUGGAAAAAGUGUUAAUAAUUGUUAGGGGCCCGAUAGCAGUAGGAGGGUGAAAACAAAAUGGUUUGGGACCUUAAAUAAUUGAAAUGUAUCUUUAUUUAUUUAUUUAUUUUUGAGACGGAGUUUCACUCUUGUUGCCCAGGCUGGAGUGCAGUGGCGCGAUCUCGGCUCACCGCAACCUCCGCCUCCCCGAUUCAAGUGAUUCUCCUGCCUCAGCCUCCCAAGUAGUUGGGAUCACAGGCAUGUGCCACCAUGCCAGCUACUUUUGUAUUUUUAGUAGAGACGGGGUUUCUUCAUGUUGGUCAGGCUGGUCUCGAACUCCCGACCUCAGGUGAUCUGCCUGCCUCAGCCUCACAGAGUGUCAGGAUUACAGGCGUAAGCCACCACACCGGGCCGGUUGAAAUUUAUCUUUAAAAUAGUGCACCUUUAAUCCUUUUUUUAUUUCUGUGUGUAUCUUAUAAUGUGCAUAUCAUGUUAGCUCAAGAUCAAGAGUUUAUGGACAAGCCAGGAGUGGUGGCUUAUGACUGUAAUCCCAGCAAUUUGGGAGGCCGAGGCAGGUGGAUCGCCUGAGGUUAGGAGUUCAAGACUAGCCUGGUCAUCAUGGUGAAACCCCGUCUCUACUAAAACUUUAAAACUUAGCUGGGCGUGGUGGCGGGCGUCUAUAAUACCAGUUACUUGGGAGGCUGAGGCAGGAUAAUUGCUUGAACCCAGGAGGUGGAGGUUGCAGUGAGCUGAGAUCGCACCAUUGCACUCCAGCCAAGGCAACAAGAGCAAAACUCCGUCUCAAAAAAAAAAAAAAAAAAAAAGUUUAUGAACCACUAGUUUAGACAAAGAAUAGUUGUACAGUUGUACAGAUGGAUAAGGAAGGAAAGAACAUUCCAGGCAAAGAGAAAAGGUUAUGCAAUGGCUGAAAUGUUUAACAAGGUAUUUGGAGACCUUGAGAUAGUUUGAAAUUAUGUAAUGUCUAAGAUGUGGGCCAAGAGAAAAUAAAGGAAAAUAUCACAGGAUAAUAGAGGAGUAAAGUAAACUAUGCUGUAUUAACUCCAUAUUAGGCAGCCAGUAAAAAUAAAUACAACCACCAAAAGUAACUCAGAAAUAUGUUUAGGAAACAAUACUAAUUGAAAAAUAUAGAACUUCAGGUUGUAUAUCUACCAUAUUUCCAAUCUGUAAAAUAUAAGUACAUUUGGAUCAAGAUUGGAAAGGAAGACAAAUUAGAAUAACUCGUCAAUAACAUAUUUAAAUAUAAAUGAAAAUAUUUAAAUGUCUUUGCUUAGUAUUUUUAUAAUAAAUUUCUAUUUUUUUACUUUUAUUUAUCUUUUAAUCUCACUGUUAUCCAGGAUGGAGUGCAGUAGCACAGUCAUAGCUCACUAUGGCCUUGAACUUCUGGGCUCAAGCAGUCCUCCCACCUCAGCCUCCUAAGUAGCUGGGAUUACAGGUGUAAGCCACUGUACCCCACCUCUGUGUUUGAUUUUAAGGGGAAUUGGCCCAAAAAAUAACAUUUAUAUUAUUUCUUCACUAUGAUUCACAUGUCCCUCAGAAGCCUCUAAUUACAAUGGAAUUCUUAAAAAAAAUUCACAUUUCUCAGCAAAGCUUUCCAACGAAAAUUUUUAUGAUAAUCCUUUGUCAUAUAAGUUAAAAUAGUAAAACUAGACAAUAGUGAGUAAGUAUUAUAUUUGAGACACCUGCUAGGCAUCUGAUAUAAGGUGGAUGAGAGGAUCAGUGUCCUUUGGGAGUUUACCCUCUAGGGAAGCAACUACAUGAAAAGUUAAAUAAAUUAUAAAAAUCACAUUUUGAAUUGAUAAAAGUUAUGAGACAGAACAUAAUUUGGUUUUUAUUUAUUUUUUUGAGACAGGGUCUCACUUUGUCCUCCAGGCUGGAGUGCUGCGGCCUCAACCUCCCAGGUUCAAGGGAUCCUGCUGCCUCAGCCCCCCAAGUAGCUAGGACUACAAGGGUGCACCACCACACCCAGCUAAUUUUUGUAUUUUUUGUAUAAAUGGGGUUUCGCCAUGUUGCCCAGACUGGUCUCAAACUCCUGGGCUCAAAAUCUGCGUGCCAUGGCUUCUCAAAACGCUAGGAUUACUGGCGUGAGUCACCAUGCCUGGCCUAUAAUUUGUUAAUAUGGUUGUUACUACAAAGUUUAAAAUAAAUUGCCCAUGCAUUCCUAUUUAUAAUAGGUGAGUGGAGGACACUUCAAUCUAAAGUGAUCUUAAAGGAGGAGUAGUAGGAUUUGAAGAUGAAGAAAGAAGAGGGGAGGUAAAUUACUUUCCAUCACUUCAAUUUCAACCCAUCAGAUAAAACCUCUCUUUAGUAAACCUGCAUGUGGGUGGAGCUGUAACAGCAAUUAAGGACAGUGUGACUCUGUUCUUCUGACUUUGGGAAAACCAGUUUGGCUGGAACAAAAAGCUGAUAGAGAAGACUAAUGGAAGAUAAGGUUGAAAAGGUAGGUUUGAGGGAGCUUUGUUACAGGAAAAAAAAAAAAAAAAAACUGGGCUUUGUCCUGUAGACAGUGGAGAGGUACUUUAGCAGAUGUAAGACAUUACCAUUAUAGGAAAGCCUCUGAAGUAACAUACACUGUGGUUUUUCCUGUUGCUGAAAAUAUGCCCAGAGUAACAAGAUGUGGCAUAGUUGGUUAUGUGUCUUAUAACCAGUGAGGUGUGCCCAAAUGGGAAAUUAAUGAAUGACUACCCAAAAAGAAGAGGGAGAGUGUUUGAAACACUGUCACUGUGAAAUAGACUGGUUGUAUGAAAAGUUGCAUAUCAAGCCUUUGGCAAAUUAUAUAAAUACUCUGAUUUUGACAUCUUAAAGGAGUAUACUAUAGAAAAUAAAAGAAAAACACUUGAAUCUGUUACAGGAAACGGGUCAUGAUCCAGACCCCAGGAGAGGGUUCUUGGAUCUCACACAAGAAAGAAUUCAGGGUGACCCCACAGUGCAAAAGUCAAAGCAAGUAUUAAGAAAAUGAAGGAAUAACAGAAUGGCUACUACAUAGAGCAGCCCUGAGGGCUGCUGGUUGCCCUUUUUUUUUUUUCCUUUGAGAUGGAGUUUUCGUUCUUGUUGCCCAGGCUGGAGUGCAAUGGCGUGAUCUCGGCUCACCACAACCUCCACCUCCCAGGUUCAAGCAAUUCUGCCUCAGCCUCCCGAGUAGCUGAGAUUACAGGCAUGCGCCACCACGCCCGGCUAAUUUUGUGUUUUUAGUAGAGUGAGGGUUUCUCCAUGUUGGUCAGGUUGGUCUUGAACUUCCGACCUCAGUUGAUCUGCCCGCCUUGGCCUCCCAAAGUACUGGGAUUACAGGCAUAAGCCACCGCACCUGGCCUGGUUGCCCAUUCUUUAUGGUCGUUUCUUGAUGAUAUGCUAACCAAGGAGUGGAUUAAUCAUGCCUCCCCUUUUUGGACCACAUAGGGUCUAAACUGUCAUGGCACAUUUGUAAACUGUCAUGGCACUGGUGGGAGUGUAGCAGUGAGGACGACCAGAGGUCACUCUCGUCGCCAUUUUGGUUUUGGUGGGUUUUGGCCAGCUCCUUUACUGCAACCUGUUUUAUCAGCAAGGUCUUUAAGACCUGUAUUUUGUGCUGACCUCCUAUCUCAUCCUGUGACUUAGAAUGCCUUAACUGACCAUCUGGGAAUGCAGCCCAAUAGAUUUCACCCUCAUUUUGCCCGGCUCCUGUUUAAGAUGGAGUUGCUCUGGUUCACAUGCCUCUAACAAAUCCUUUUAGUUUUUCAUGCUUGUCACAUGUUUACUUCUAAGGGUAUAAUCAUGUGGUUUACUAUAUUAUUACCGAUUAGAUUAUUUUGAACUACUUCAAUUUUAUUUAUUUUACCUCAUUUCCAUUCACAUUUUUUGAAAAGAGCUUUUUUAUACAAGAGUGUAAAUAUUUUCACAUUGAAUAAAUGAAUUGAAAACAGUAUGUGUUGAUUGAAUACUUGAAGUAUACUUCUUUACAGCAAAUUCUAGGAAUUCAGCUUUGUUUUAUGUGCAUUAAAAUGUAAUAAAUAUAGGCCUGAGAAAUUCUCAGAACAAAUAUUU